GACGAACCGUGCGAACGUUGUUCGGAAUCACUGGGCUUAAAGGGCGCGUAGGCGGGCCUUCAGGUCGGGGGUGAAAUGCCACAGCUCAACUGUGGAAGUGCCCCCGAUACCGGAGGCCUCGAGGGGGAUAGGGGCGUGUGGAACUUCCGGUGGAGCGGUGAAAUGCGUAGAUAUCGGAAGGAACGCCGGUGGCGAAAGCGACACGCUGGAUCCCUACUGACGCUGAGGCGCGAAAGCCAGGGGAGCAAACGGG
rnacentral:rRNA from 1 species